AGAUGGGAGAAGUUAUGCCAUGCCAAGAUCAGGGGAGGGCUGGGUUUUAGGGAAUUCUCUAGCUUUAACCAGGCCUUAGUUGCUAAGCAAGGGUGGAGAAUUCUCCAAAAUCCGGAAUCUUUAAUGGCAAGAAUCUUAAAGGCAAAAUAUUUCAAGCAUACAAGCUUUAUGGAUGCAAAAUUAGGGUCACAACCUAGCUUUGUUUGGAGAAGUAUUCUAUGGGGUAGACAAGUGCUCCAUAAGGGCUUGAGGUGGAGGAUAGGCAACGAGAGACAAAUCUCAAUCUACAACAGAAACUGGAUUCAAAAACAUGAAUUAAAGAGCCAUGGCAUGCAUAUGGAGCUCCCCAAUGACACUGUAGUUGCUGACCUUAUAGAUGAGAGACAUCACUGGAAGGAGGAGAUAAUUUGCCAGCACUUCUCGAAGGAAGCCUCAGAAAGGAUUUUGCAGACCCCUCUGCCGAGAACCCUUCAACAAGAUACUCUCAUCUGGAAAUUUGACAAGCAUGGAAGUUACUCUGUCAAAAGUGGCUACCAGCUAGCUUUGAAGCAAAAGUUCUCAGACAAUCCAGGCUGCUCAGACACUACCAGAACUCACUGGGAGGUUGUUUGGGCAAAUGAGAUCCCUGAAAAAAGUUAAAGUUUUUAUGUGGAGAGCAGCACAAAAUCUGUUACCAACAGCAACAAAUCUGUGGAAGAGGAAAGUGAUAAUGGACCCAAUUUGCAAAAGAUGUAGCUGUAGAAGUGAAGAUGUCUUCCAUACCUUAUUGGAAUGCAAGGCUGCGAGAAAGGUGUGGAAAGCGACAGAGUUUUAUGAGGAGGUUAAGCAGAUGCUCCAUCAAGACAUGUUGAGUUUUCUCCAAGAAAUGGCUUAAAAAAGAACGAAGAAAGAUGUAGAAUUGAUUAUUGCUGUUUGUUGGGCGAUUUGGUACUCCAGAAACUGUUUUAUUUUUUAUGGCAAAGACGAGAAUCCUGUUAUUUCAGUGGCAUGAGCAGCAGCUAUUGUAGAGUCUUUCAAGAGGGUUAAAAUUUCAAAAGAUCAAGCAAUCUCAAGGCAUGGGCAAAUCAGUCAGCAAACAUGGACAGCUCCCCCAAAUGGCUGUUUUAAGGUGAAUGUGGACGCUGCAGUAAAAGUUUCAUAGCAUAAGGCAGGCUUGGGAGUAGUUGUAAGAAACUCCAGGGGAAGGGUUGUGGCAGUAGCAGUUCAAAAUGUUCAAUUUCGAGGCACUGUAGCUAGUGUGGAAGCGAAAGCUGUUUUGUUUGGAAUUGAAACUGCUCAACAGGUGGCUUGUGUGCCAAUGGUCAUUGAGUCAGAUUCAAAGGAGGUGGUGGAUCUGUCACUAAACAGAAAGGAAAGCAAGACAGAAAUUGAAUAUAUUAUUGUUGAAAUCCAGACAAAGCUUAGGAUCCAGAGCCAAGCAUCAAUUCAAUUUGCUCCAAGGGGCUGUAAUAUAGCUGCUCAUUCUGUAGCAAAGAAAGCUUUAGAAGUUGAAAAUCAGUGUAUUUGGCUGGAAAAUUUCCCAGAUCAUGUUUCGUUGUUACUGUCAAAGUUCUGUUAAUGGAAAGCUUUACUUCCUUCUAAAAAAAAAAAA
rnacentral:lncRNA from 1 species